GAUGAACGCUAGCGGGAGGCCUAACACAUGCAAGCCGAGCGGUAUUGUUUCUUCGGAAAUGAGAGCGGCGUACGGGUGCGUAACACGUGUGCAACCUGCCUUUAUCUGGGGGAUAGCCUUUCGAAAGGAAGAUUAAUACUCCAUAAUAUAUUGAACGGCAUCGCUUAAUAUUGAAAGCUCCUGCGGAUAGAGAUGGGCACGCGCAAGAUUAGCUAGUUGGUAAGGUAACGGCUCACCAAGGCGAUGAUCUUUAGGGGGCCUGAGAGGGUGAGCCCCCACACUGGUACUGAGACACGGACCAGACUCCUACGGGAGGCAGCAGUGAGGAAUAUUGGUCAAUGGGUGCAAGCCUGAACCAGCCAUCCCGCGUGAAGGACGACUGCCCUAUGGGUUGUAAACUUCUUUUGUAUAGGGAUAAACCUACCCUCGUGAGGGUAGCUGAAGGUACUAUACGAAUAAGCACCGGCUAACUCCGUGCCAGCCGCCGCGGUAA
rnacentral:rRNA from 1 species